UACGGGGGGAGCAAGCGUUGUUCGGAUUUACUGGGCGUAAAGGGCGCGUAGGCGGCCACCGCAAGUCGGUUGUGAAAUCUCCGGGCUUAACCCGGAAAGGUCAAUCGAUACUGCGGGGCUAGAGUGCAGAAGGGGCAACUGGAAUUCUCGGUGUAGCGGGGAAAUGCGUAGAUAUCGAGAGGAACACCUGCGGCGAAGGCGGGUUGCUGGGCUGACACUGACGCUGACAGCGCGAAAGCUAGGGGAGCGAACGGG
rnacentral:rRNA from 1 species